rnacentral:tRNA from 1 species
CUAGGCCCUGGUAGCUUAAUAAUAAAGCACUG